CCCUCUCCCCUCAUCACUCCUGUGCACAAGCACUAACGCCACCUGUUAUUGAUUGGCUGGAACAAUGUUGUGUGGCAAGGUCCACCCCACUUUCUUUGUUUUCCAUUUACAGAGCCAGAGCUGUGUAGGAAAACCUGAUUUUUUUUUCCAGAGCAUACACAAAACGGAGAGCGACCAAACCGUACAGCCACACCAUCUUCCGGUGCAGUUCCUGCAGUCUGCUGCUUCGCUGACGCAGGUCUGAAGAGCCCGGAGCCUCCACUCCUCCAGCAACCCCAGUCUAGCGCCACACAACCUCGGCGGCGUCAGCCUGGCUGGAACCGCAGCGCCUGCAUAGGGCAGGCAGACAGACGGGCAGGUCACAAACAGGAUGUGCUCCCCGUGGCUCUGGGAGGCCCCAGAGGCAUCUGCAUCAGCGCGAACCCUAGACCUCAGGCUUGCAUAAGAACACAGCACUAUGAAGAACUUAAUUUGCUCAGACCGCAAAAACGCGUGCUGGACGCUUUCCAAGAAGAUGUCCACAUGAUGUUUAGGAGACAGGCGAAGGGAUGACACUGGCAGGGAAUAAUGUAGAGUUUCCCGCUCUCUUUCAUGUCUAGGAAAGGCUAAACGCAUGACAAUGCACCCCCACUAUUCCCACAAAAAUUUCAUAUAGCUGAUCCUGUCUAACUUCAUCUGAGGAUUUUAGCUGUUAAAUCAAAUUUUAUACCAAAUUUAAUAAACUGUAAGUGGAGUCAGAUCUCUUUUCUAGGAAAUCUGCAGGAUGCCUGACAGAGACCCUGGUCCCCAAUUUGGGAAACAGUGACAUAAGAUGGAAGUAGUCAUGCACAGUCACAGUGUGCGCCCUCUGUUCAAUUUUGCAGUGAGAUUUCAAGCAGUUCAAGAAAAAUGAAAUUAGCAGGGUGAGCUUUUGUGUGUGACUCCAAAGACACAGGAAGCUGACUGAUAGAAGAUCGGAAUACUAUAGAAUACUACUAUUAUACUAAUUAACUAUGAUAAUAACUGAGUAAAAACUCUUUUGAUUACUCUUAAUUGUAUUGCCCUCUGCUGAUUCAGUCCUCCUUUUUUGUAUUAUAAACAAGUAACAUUGCAAGUAACUCCUUCAGCUUAAAGAUUUGGGGGAAAGAUGUCAAAUCUUCCUGUAGCUCAUCUUUAACUGGUCCAGCUCUGCAGCGGGGCUCAAG